UAGAGUUUGAUCCUGGCUCAGAUUGAACGCUGGCGGCAUGCCUUACACAUGCAAGUCGGACGGCAGCGCGGGAGCAAUCCUGGCGGCGAGUGGCGAACGGGUGAGUAAUACAUCGGAACAUGUCCAGUAGUGGGGGAUAGCCCGGCGAAAGCCGGAUUAAUACCGCAUACGAUCUAUGGAUGAAAGCGGGGGAUCGCAAGACCUCGCGCUAUUGGGGUGGCCGAUGGCGGAUUAGCUAGUUGGUGGGGUAAAGGCCUACCAAGGCGACGAUCCGUAGCUGGUCUGAGAGGACGACCAGCCACACUGGGACUGAGACACGGCCCAGACUCCUACGGGAGGCAGCAGUGGGGAAUUUUGGACAAUGGGGGCAACCCUGAUCCAGCAAUGCCGCGUGUGUGAAGAAGGCCUUCGGGUUGUAAAGCACUUUUGUCCGGGAAGAAAUCCCCUGCCCUAAUACGGCGGGGGGAUGACGGUACCGGAAGAAUAAGCACCGGCUAACUACGUGCCAGCAGCCGCGGUAA
rnacentral:rRNA from 1 species